AUGAAUUAUAAUGUUCAUAAUGUUUAGUUUUGCACUGGAUGACUCCAUCUAUAUAGCAUAACUGUUUUAGAAAA